GAGUUUGAUCAUGGCUCAGGAUGAACGCUGGCGGCGUGCUUAACACAUGCAAGUCGAACGAGAAGUAAAGGAACGGACACUUCGGUGGAAGGGAUUUUACGGAAAGUGGCAGACGGGUGAGUAACGCGUGGGCAACCUGCCCUGAACAGAGGGAUAGCCACCGGAAACGGUGAUUAAUACCUCAUGAAGCGAGAAGGUCGCAUGACCUUCUUGUUAAAGAUUUUAUCGGUUCAGGAUGGGCCCGCGUCUGAUUAGCUAGUUGGUGGGGUAAGGGCCUACCAAGGCUAAGACGGGUAGCCGGUCUGAGAGGGUGAUCGGCCACAUUGGAACUGAGAUACGGUCCAGACUCCUACGGGAGGCAGCAGUGGGGAAUAUUGGGCAAUGGGGGGAACCCUGACCCAGCGACGCCGCGUGAGGGAAGAAGGUUUUCGGAUCGUAAACCUCUGUUGUACGGGAAGAAGGAAGUGACGGUACCGUACGAGGAAGCCCCGGCAAACUACGUGCCAGCAGCCGCGGUAA
rnacentral:rRNA from 1 species